rnacentral:rRNA from 1 species
AGGGUUUGAUAUGGCUCAGGACGAACGCUGGCGGCGUGCCUAACACAUGCAAGUCGAACGGGGUACCCUUGACAGAGGCUUCGGCCAAUGGAUAGGAAUACCUAGUGGCGGACGGGUGAGUAACGCGUGAGCAAUCUGCCUUUAGGAGGGGGAUAACAGCUGGAAACAGCUGCUAAUACCGCAUAAAGUAUGGGGAUGGCAUCAUCCUGAUACCAAAGGAGCAAUCCGCCUUUAGAUGAGCUCGCGUCCAAUUAGCUAGUUGGUGAGGUAACGGCCCACCAAGGCGACGAUUGGUAGCCGGACUGAGAGGUUGAACGGCCACAUUGGGACUGAGACACGGCCCAG